rnacentral:rRNA from 1 species
AUAAGUAAUAUAGAUAUUGAGGAUAUGAAGUGAAUCCUAAGAUAUAUAUAUGUAGUAGUUAGCAAUACUAAAAGUUAUACACAUAUAGUGGUUAUUAUAGUAUGUAUAUACAUAGUAAAUAUAUGUAUAUAUAUAUAGAUACCAAUAUAGGAUACUAUAUAAUAUGUAAUACAUAGCGAAAUGAAACAUCAUAGUAGCUAUAGGUACUACAAAAUUUCUAUGAUAUACUAUAGUAGUGGUGAGCGAAGAGUAUGUAGCCUAUAAGUAUCAUGUAGUAAUACUAUGUGAGAAUAUAGUAUACUAUAUACUAAGGCUAUAAUAUAUGUGUAUAUACUAAUAAGUACUGUGAAGGAAAAUGUAUUACUAGCUACUAUAUAGGCAUAGUAAAAAAUACUAUAGUAUUUUUAUAGCUAGUACCUUUUGUAUAAUGGGAUAGCAAGUACUACCAUAUUGCGAAGUAUAUAAUAUAUAUACUGUAUAUAAUAUGUGAACACUAUAUAGUGUUAUAUAGUACUAUGGUAGUGACCCGAAAGUAUACGCUCAUACUAUAUAUAAGCAGUAUCACAUACUAUUAUAAUAGUAAAAAUAUACAUAUAUUUUUCAUAAUAGUAACAUAUAGUAUAGUAUUUUAUAAUAUAUAUAGUAAUAUAUAUAUUAUUAUACAUACUAAUAUCUGUGGUACUGGCUGUACCUGUUAGUGUUGCAAUACUAUAGGAAAAUGUAUAGUACGCUAAGAAAUUUAAAACAUGUAUACAGAUAGCUGGUAUGCUACGAAAUAUAUGUACGUAUAUUUACUAUGUAAUAUUAUUAUACAUAUUAUAAAAUAUAUGUAUAGUAAUAUAUUACUAAUAUAUGGUAGAGCUCUUAGUACCUAUACUAUACUAUAUGUAUAGUAUAAUGUAGGGGUAUACUUUUUACCUACUACAGGUACCAAAUCUCCAAAUAUAUAUAUAGUAUAUAUAGUAUCUCAGAUAGCUAGUGAUAAGGCUUGUUAUCAAAAGGGGAACAGCCCACAACAAGAAUUUUAUAGUAUAUAUUUUUUAUAGUAUAUACUAUACUAAUAUAGUUCCACAAUACUAGCUACAGGAAAAAAGGUACUAGUACUAGAAAACUGUGAGGUGGUAGGUUUGAUAGUAACUACCCUAUAAUAAUAGUGUAAUAACAUACUCACUAUGUAUAUAUAUGUUAUAUAUAGUAUAUAAUAUUAUAUAUAGUAUAUAUACCUAUACUAAGUACCGAAGAUGUACCGGGCCUAACUAGUAUACUAUAUUUUUUGUACAUACUAUAUAUAGUAGUAUGUAGUAGUAGCACACCCUAUAAUAGUAAUAUGUAUGUCAGUAUUCAUAUACAUAAUAUCUAUAUACUAUACUAUAUAUAUAGUAUAGUAUUUUAGGAGUAAAAAUAGGGAAGAAAAUGCUAUCACGAGUAACGAUAGUAAGGUAGUAUAUAGUAUAGUAAUAUUACUAUAUACAUAUGUAAGCCUUACCGCCUAAAGUAUAAGGUUUCAUAGUAAAUACAGUUCUUAAGUAUGUACUAUAUAUAGUACUACGAUAGAGAAACUAACACCUAGAAAAUAGUACUAUAUUUUAUAUGUAUAGUAAAUAUGUAUAUAACAUACAAAAAGUUAUACACUAUAAAAUAUGUACUACUGGAAGAGUACUAGGUACUAAUAUAUAUAUAGUAUAAAAAUACUAUGCCUAAAAAUUACUAUGGUAUAUGUUACUAUAGUAAAUAUUAUGUAUAGUAUACCAUACUAUAGUAUAUGUGUUAUAUACUGUAAUAUAUUCCGACACCGGUAUACACGCUCUAGAAGAGCUAUGGCGAAAGAAAACACUGUAUAAAAUGAACUCGGCAAAUAUACCUUACCAUAUACUGGUAAGAUACCAUAAUACUAUAUAUUACGUAUCUCUAUAUAGGGAUAUUACUAUGUAUAUAUAUUAUACUAUAAUAUUUUUAUAGUAUAAAAAUACUAUUAUAACUUUUUAUAUAGUAGUAUAUAUAUAGUUAUACAAUAUGAGUAUUGUAGGGUAUAUAUGUGUAUAUAGUAUACUUUUUAUAGUAUAUAUAUAUAUAUGUAUAUACAUAAUAUAUAGUAUUAUAUAUGAGAAAAUAGUACACCUGUUUACCAAAAACACAGCACUAUGCUAAUAGUAUACUAGUAGUAUAUAGUGUGAGAUCUGCCUAUUAUGUGCAUAUAAUAUUAUAGUGAUAUAUAUGUUACUAUAUGAAAAUGUAUUUGUAAAUGGCAGUCUUAUUCUGAGGAUUAUAAUGUAGCAAAAUGCCUUGACCACUAAUUAUGGCCUUGCAUGAAUGAUAGUAUGAUACUAAUACUGUAUCUUAUACAGGUUCUGUGAAACUGUAAUAGCUGUGAAGAUACGGCUCUCCCAUAGUAAGACAAGAAGACCCUAGCAGCUUUACUAUGUACUGCACAUUGUUAUUGUAAGAUUUCUAGGUUACUAGUGUAUUUUCAUGUUUUACAUAGUAAUAUUUAGUACCUAGGAUCAUACAAUACUUAUCUAUAUAAUAUGUACCUAUACCUAUAAUAUGCCUACCUAUAUAAUCUUAUAUAAGAUAUUUAUCCUAUAUGUUAUAGUGGUAGUUACUAGUAAAAAAUAUUUAUAUAUGUGGUAUAGGAUGACCAUAAUAUACGUAUUUUUACUACUGGUAUCGGGUACCAUAUAUUACUAUAUUAUAGUAUUAUAUAUACAAAAAUAUUAUGUACUAUUAUAUAGUAUAUAGUAUAUAUAUAGUACUACAUAGUAAUAUAUGUAUAGUGACAGUAGCAGUAUGAUAGUUUCGUUGGGGCGACGUCUUCAGCAAUAGUAUCUGAAGAGCUUUACAUACUAAUAUACAUACAAAAAUAUACUAUAUUUUACAGGUAUAUAUACGUUUUGUAUAGUAAUAUUAUAUAGAAAAUUACUAUGGUAUAGUAGCUAUACUAUAUUUUAUAUAGUAUACUAUUAUAUAGGUAAUACGUAUAUGUAGUAGCUAUACAUUUUUAGUAUGUAUAUCAUAAUAUAUAGUAUAUAUAUAGUAGUAAUAUACUACUAUAGUAGUAAGUAUUUAUAUAUGGCUAUAGGUACUAUAGUAUAGUAUAGUAAUAUAUUAUCAUAGUACUAUAUAGUACAUAUUUACUAUUAUAUAAUAUAGGUACUGUAAUGUUAGCAUAUAUAUUACUAACAUAUACAUAAUAAUAAUAAGUAUUACAGAGCACAAUAGUGUAACAGUACCGUAAUUAUAGUACUAACAAGUAUUAUAAGCAUAUACGUGUAAUAUAGUGAACAGCUAUUAUCUUAUAGUGAGAGAUAGCGAUAGCGGGUAAAAGUUACGCUAGGGAUAACAGGCUAAUAGCGUGUAAGAGUACAUAUUGUAAACGCUGUUUGGCACCUCGAUGUCGACUCAUCAUAUCCUACAGGGUGAAACCGCCUGUAAGGGUUAGACUGUUCGUCUACUAACAUGGUACGUGAGUUGGGUUCAAUACGUCGUAAGACAGUAUGGUUUUUAUCUACUAUGGGAUGAUACUACUGUAGAUAUUAUUAUUAGUACGAAAGGAUUAUAAUGAGCCUACCUAUGGUGUAUCUCCCACAUUUUACUAUGUAACGUGAAUUGUGCGAGAGUAGCUAAGUAUGCAGAUUUUAUAGUAGUACUGAAAGCAUAUAAGUACGAAGAGGUUCUACAACAGUAUUAUUGUGUAUGCCAUAUACUAUGACAUAUAGUAUAUAAAAAUAUUACUACUAUAUAUCAUAAUAAUAUAUAGUACAUAUAUAAUAUAUACUAUUUUAUAGCUGCU